rnacentral:lncRNA from 1 species
UAUACACUCACAUACAUAUGUACAUAAUACAUAAGCAUACUUACAGACAUGCAUACAUCUCACACACACACAUAUACUUACAUACAGGCACAGAGCCAUAUGUCCGUAAUAAACACAUACAUAUAUACUCACAGGGGAAAUGUAUAUUUAAAGAACUUUGCAUACACAUUGCAUGCAUGAAAACGUACUUUGAUGCUGAUUGAUAUCAAAAAAAUAUGAACACAUACAUAAUAUAGAGUAUAUAGAAAUAUAUACACACGCACAUACGUAUAUGGAUACAAAUGUAUAUAUAUGUACAUGGAAAUGUAAAUACAGACAGAUUUAUAUACCCAGCAUAUAUACGCACAUAUCAAAGCAGUGCUAACAAAUAUGAGAAUAAUUAUUUACUCACACACAAACCACAGACCACAUAUUGAACAUAGCUUGGUUGUGUGUGUGUAUAUAUAUAUAUAUAUAUACACACACACAUGCAUAUAUGUAUGUGUAUGUGUACAUGGAGGUAAUAUAUGUGUACAUACACAGAUAUGCAUAUAUCUGCACACAUACACACACAUACACACACACAUGUAUAUAUACAUGUAUGUGCAUAUAUAUAUAUAUGUAUAUAUAAAUGUAUACACCCCCCCCACACACACAUAUAUAUAUAUAUAUACAUAUAUACAUAUAUACAUAUAUACAUGUAUAUAUGUAUGUAUAUGUGUACAUGGAGGAAAUAUAUGUGUACAUACACAGAUAUGCAUAUAUCUGCACACAUACACACACACAUGUAUAUAUACACAUAUGUGCAUAUAUAUAUAUAUGUAUAUAUAAAUGUAUACACCCCACC